GGGUGUAUAGCUCAAUGGUAGAGCACCUGUCUUACAAACAGGUGGUUAAAGGUUCAAGUCCUUUUGUGCCCA
rnacentral:tRNA from 1 species